ACUACGGGAGGCUGCAGUGGGGAAUAUUGGGCAAUGGGCGCAAGCCUGACCCAGCAACGCCGCGUGAAGGAAGAAGGCUUUCGGGUUGUAAACUUCUUUUCUGAGGGACGAUGAAAGUGACGGUACCUCAGGAAUAAGCCACGGCUAACUACGUGCCAGCAUCCGCGGUAAUACGUAGGUGGCAAGCGUUAUCCGGAUAUAUUGGGGGGAAAGGGCGUGUAGGCGGGAAAGCAAGUCAGAUGUGAAAACUCAGGGCUCAACCCUGAGCCUGCAUUUGAAACUGUUUUUCUUGAGUGCUGGAGAGGCAAUCGGAAUUCCGGGUGUAGCGGUGAAAUGCGUAGAUAUACGGAGGAACACCAGUGGCGAAGGCGGAUUGCUGGACAGUAACUGACGCUGAGGCGCGAAAGCGUGGGGAGCAAACAGGAUUAGAUACCCCAGUAGUG
rnacentral:rRNA from 1 species